rnacentral:rRNA from 1 species
AACGAACGCUGGCGGCAGGCUUAACACAUGCAAGUCGAACGCUCGUAGCAAUACGGGAGUGGCGGACGGGUGAGUAACGCGUGGGAACGUGCCCUGAGGUACGGAAUAACUGCGGGAAACUGCAGCUAAUACCGUAUGAGCCCCGCAAGGGGGAAAGAUUUAUCGCCUUGGGAGCGGCCCGCGUCGGAUUAGCUAGUUGGUGGGGUAACGCCUACCAAGGCUUCGAUCCGUAGCUGGUCUGAGAGGACGAUCAGCCACACUGGGACUGAGACACGGCCCAGACUCCUACGGGAGGCAGCAGUGGGGAAUCUUGCGCAAUGGGGGCAACCCUGACGCAGCCAUGCCGCGUGAAUGAUGAAGGCCUUAGGGUUGUAAAGUUCUUUGCCCGUGACGAUGAUGACGGUAACGGGAGAAUAAGCUCCGGCUAACUUCGUGCCAGCAGCCGCGGUAAU